GGUUUGUGGCUCAGUGGUAGAGUGCUCGCCUAGCAGGCAUGAGGCACUGGGUUCAAUCCUCAGCACCA
rnacentral:tRNA from 1 species